CCUCAGUUCCUACUGUGUCUUUCACGGUAGAGGCUACACUAUCAAAGCCUUUCACUGCAGAGUUAACAAACCAAACGACUGCAGAGUUUCAAGAACUGCAAACAACUGUUGUGACAUCUUGCGAUGCGAUCUUCCAGGAGGCCUAUGGGUCGGUUUUCAUCACCACUCUUGUCCUUGGAUUCAGCCCGUCCAUCGAUGGAAACACUACAAUAGAGGUGGAGCUUGUUUUCAAUAACACAGCAUCACCUGAAGUGACCGUUUCAACUGCCGAUGUACUGGAGACCAUGACGACGGCAGCAACCAACACCUCCGCUGGCGGAUUCUCCUUUGAUCCGGAAUCUAUUGUUGU